rnacentral:rRNA from 1 species
GACGAACGCUGGCGGCGUGCCUAAUACAUGCAAGUCGAGCGAUGAGGGGUGGUACUUGUACCAAUUGGAUUAGCAGCGAACGGGUGAGUAACGCGUAGGGAAUCUGCCUUUGAGCGUGGGACAACAUCUGGAAACGGAUGCUAAUACCGCAUAAUAACUCUAAACACAUGGUUUAAUUGUGAAAGAUGCAAUUGCAUCACUCAAAGAUUGUCCCUCGUUGUAUUAGCUAGUUGGGGAAGGAAACGGUCAACAAGGGGAUCGUACAUAACCGUACCGAGAAGGUGGUCGGCCCAAAUGGGAAUGAGAAACCGCCCCAGCUCCUUAGGGGAGGAGCCGUAAGGGAUCUUCGGCCAUGGAGGAAAGUCUGACCGGGCCACGGCGCGGGAGUGAAGAAGGUUUUCGGGUCGUAAAAAUCUGUUGGUAGAGAAGAACGUUGGGGGGAGUGAAAAGCUCAUCUAGUGACGGUAACUAACCAGAAAGGGACGGCUAACUACGUG